UGAGGAAUAUUGGUCAAUGGGCGAGAGCCUGAACCAGCCAAGUCGCGUGAGGGAAGACGGCCCUACGGGUUGUAAACCUCUUUUGUCAGGGAGCAAGAACAGGCACGUGUGCCUGACUGAGAGUACCUGAAGAAAAAGCAUCGGCUAACUCCGUGCCAGCAGCCGCGGUAAUACGGAGGAUGCGAGCGUUAUCCGGAUUUAUUGGGUUUAAAGGGUGCGUAGGCGGACUGCCAAGUCAGCGGUAAAAUAGCGGGGCUCAACCCCGUCGAGCCGUUGAAACUGGUGGUCUUGAGUGGGCGAGAAGUACGCGGAAUGUGUGGUGUAGCGGUGAAAUGCAUAGAUAUCACGCAGAACUCCGAUUGCGAAGGCAGCGUACCGGCGCCCAACUGACGCUGAAGCACGAAAGCGUGGGUAUCGAACAGGAUUAGAUACCCUGGUAGUCCACGCAGUAAACGAUGAAUGCUAGCUGUCCGGGACGAAUGAGUCCUGGGUGGCACAGCGAAAGCGUUAAGCAUUCCACCUGGGGAGUACGCCGGCAACGGUGAAACUCAAAGGAAUUGACGGGGGCCCGCACAAGCGGAGGAACAUGUGGUUUAAUUCGAUGAUACGCGAGGAACCUUACCCGGGCUCAAACGCACUACGAAUGAUGCUGAAAGGUGUCAGCCAGCAAUGGCGGAGUGCGAGGUGCUGCAUGGUUGUCGUCAGCUCGUGCCGUGAGGUGUCGGCUUAAGUGCCAUAACGAGCGCAACCCCUAUUGACAGUUGCUAACGGGUCAAGCCGAGGACUCUGUCGAGACUGCCGGCGCAAGCUGUGAGGAAGGCGGGGAUGACGUCAAAUCAGCACGGCCCUUACGUCCGGGGCGACACACGUGUUACAAUGGCAGGUACAGCGGGAAGCCACCUGGCGACAGGGAGCGGAACCCGAAAACCUGUCUCAGUUCGGAUUGGAGUCUGCAACCCGACUCCAUGAAGCUGGAUUCGCUAGUAAUCGCGCAUCAGCCAUGGCGCGGUGAAUACGUUCCC
rnacentral:rRNA from 1 species